rnacentral:rRNA from 1 species
CCUACGGGCGGCAGCAGUGGGGAAUAUUGGACAAUGGGGGCAACCCUGAUCCAGCCAUGCCGCGUAUGUGAAGAAGGCCCUCGGGUUGUAAAGCACUUUCAGUGAGGAAGAACGCCUGGUGGUUAAUACCCAUCAGGAAAGACAUCACUCACAGAAGAAGCACCGGCUAACUCCGUGCCAGCAGCCGCGGUAAUACGGAGGGUGCGAGCGUUAAUCGGAAUUACUGGGCGUAAAGCGCGCGUAGGUGGCUUGAUAAGCCGGUUGUGAAAGCCCCGGGCUCAACCUGGGAACGGCAUCCGGAACUGUCAAGCUAGAGUGCAGGAGAGGAAGGUAGAAUUCCCGGUGUAGCGGUGAAAUGCGUAGAGAUCGGGAGGAAUACCAGUGGCGAAGGCGGCCUUCUGGACUGACACUGACACUGAGGUGCGAAAGCGUGGGUAGCAAACAGGAUUAGAUACCCUUGUAGUC